CAGACAUUUCUGACUGGUUCUGGUUCUGGUUCGGACCAGAACCAGGACCAGAACCUGGAGGUCUGAAGUAAGAGCUAAGGGAAGUUCUGCCCUCUCCAUCAUCUACUGUUUGUUUUUUAUUAAACGUUUUGAACGAUUGUGCAGAAUCACGUGGCAGAAACGUUCAAGAACAAAUCACGUCUUCCAGGCUGAAGGCACAUAGAAUUAUAAGAAAAAUAGUUAAAAAUAUCAAUAAAUAACAUUUUGUCAGACAUCAAACAGGAGAAAGAAAAACGACAAAAAGCAAAAAGAAAGAGGAACUAGUUCUGAAAAAGAUCCAGUUCAUUAUCAGCUGAUUUUCCUGCUUGUUCUCCAUCAGUUUUAAGGCUCUGAAGGUUUUUAAAGUCAGUUUUUCUAUUUUCACAUUUACAGGAUCAGCAGGUUGUUCAGUACCAGAUCGGUUCUGGUCCAAAUGUUACAUCCUCUGUUUUUAAGAGGUGAGGCAGGAAGAGUUUAGUUGAGAUCCAGACCUGAAAGUUUCCCCAAAAGGUCCAUCUGUUGGUGUCAAAGUUGAAUCUUUGUGGUAAAAAUUCCCUGGAUGGAAAAACAUUAUUGAGGAUUUUAAUGAACUUUUUUAGCUUUAGAGGAGAUUUAAGGUCAGCAGUUCUCCACUUAUUAACCUCUGAACCAGGAAACAAAUUUAAAAUUGAGUUUUUAUUUGGUCAGACAGGAAAUAUAAAGUUAGAUAGAAAAAUAUAAAAACAUAUAUAUAAAUAUAGUUAGUUAAAUAUAAAGUUAGUUAGAAGCUGACUCAUCUGUUUGUUACUUUUGUAACUUUUUUAGAUCCAAACAGUUGAAGUAACUGAAGGUUAGCUGACAGAGGGGUCAGAGUUCAGAGUGAGCGGUCCAGAUUAUAAGUCAAGUUCCUCAACCAAUCUCCAUUAUCAUUUAGAAAAUGUCUUGUGGACCAAUUUUCCAUCCAGCGAUGCGAACACAGAGAAUUAUUCCUGCAGCUCAUCUCUGCUGCUCCAGAUGGAGUUUGGUGAGGAGUGAAGCUGUUCAUGUUCAGAAGAGGCAGAUCGCUUAACAGGAAGUCUGUCGACACCAAAGUCACGUCUAAGAACAAAAUCUAUGCAUCCAGUUUUUAAACAAACCUUUGGGGAGACAAAACCAGAAACUAUUUCCCUUCAUUAGAAAAGAUUUCUAAUGAAGGGAACCAGUUUGUGUCAUCAGCUAGUUAUAAUUUUGGUAAUCAAAAAUGUUUAAUUUAGGUCAAUUUGAGUAUUUUAUGAAGAUACUCAUCACUUCAACGGCAAGAUGAAGAGGAAGGGAGAAACAUUGCAGCUCUGUUUCACUGGGUUUCUAUUUCUCUACAGAAGUUGUUGUUUUUAAAGGUUUUGUUGGCUCUAGUGGCCUUUAUUGGAAAGUAGUUUGACAGGAAACAGGUGAACAGAGAGAGGAAAGACAUGCAGCAAAUGUCACCAGGCUGGGAAUCAAACCUGUGACCACUGCCACGAGGACUAAGGCCUCAAUACGUGGGUCAUGCCACAGCACCAUUCUACAGAGGUUUGUCCAAAUCCAAACAAGUGUAAAACUUGAAAAACGAAAAACAAACUGAUGCUCCAACAUGUCAAAGGCUUUGUAGAAGGAAAAGGAUGAAACGUUUAUCCUAUUCAGGUAAAUCCUGCACCAGCCUGAUGGUAUCAUCUUUAAACAUAAAACCUGUUUGGUUUCAGAAAUAACCUCCUUAAGGCCAGUCUUUAGUCUGUUUGUGUAGAUAAAUGUCAGUAGUUUAUAAUCACAGUUUAGAAGGUGGUUGUCUAGAACCUUGUUGUCUCUUCCUGUUUGGGUUUCAGGGUGAUGACGCCCUGCUUCAUGCUGGGAGGAAGUGAAUUAUUACAUAAGAUCUUUAAACACCUGGAAUAUAAAUUCUCAGAUAAUCCCAGAAAUGUCUAUAGAUUGGCAGUAAGGCCGUCAGGACCGGGGAUUUAUCCAGUUUCAAGCACAUGGUGGCGCUGUCUAGUUCUUCCAUAUUAAUAUCUUUGUUGCAGUUUUUCUUGAAAUCCUCAGAGAUUUGAGGGACAAAGUCUUUGACUAGCAGAAGGUCGCAGUCUGGGGUUGAAAAAGAGGAGCAAUAAAGGUUUUGACAAAAGUUGCAAAUUUUCUUUGUUAUCAGUUUGGUCUGAACAUUCAUUGUUAAUAAGGGACUGAAUGUGGUUUUUUACUUGCUUUCUCUUUUCCAGUCAGCAGAAGAAUGAACCGGUUUUUUCUCCAUUUUCUUCUGGAUCUGAUAAAAGCUCCUUUCUUUCGUAGAUUGAGUCUAAUUUAGCUUGUAGGUCAGGGGGUUAUUUUUGUCAGCAUCAGUCGACAUCAGAUUAUUUACUAACCUUACGUCUUCCAGGUCAUUGUUUUUUAUUUUAUUUUAUUUUUUUAGGCUUUUGCUAAAAGAGAUAGAGUAAACCCGUAUCUUAUAUUUUAAUUAUUCUCAUUUUUUGGUGUAGGUUAUUAUUGAAUCGUCUCCGAUCAUCUAUUGUUGACCACUUCCUGAUUCAUCCACGUCAUCAAGGCCUCGACCAAUCACGGUUCAGGUCCAAACGAGAACAUCUUACCGUGUAAAUACAGCGGAAGUUGUUGCCCAGCAGAGGCCUCAUCAGCGCCCUCUGCAGGAUGAAAAAUAAUCAGGAAAACUUGUUUUUAAAGUUUGGCUUGGCCUCAGACCUUUCUGUAAAUCCUAAAAAGUUUCACAUUAUGUUUGAUUCUGUAACAAAUACAGGAACUCUAGAAAUGACGUUGAUGAUGAAGGUAGGUCCUUGUUUCCGUUGGUGAAGCGGAAGAAAAACAAAAUGACUCGUUCCGUUUCUGCACCUUCAGCCGUCUUUCCGAUUCACUGAGGAACGUUCAUCAGAAACUUUUAUUAAACAUGACAGAUGUCUUCUUUAAACUGAUCAAUAUAUGACUAAUAUCUUAAAACAAUAAACCCCAACUAUAAAUUUUUUCAAAUGCUUCCAGAAUCAUUUAUUCAGAAAUUGUCAUAGAAGAAAAUUUAACAAAAAAUGUGAUAAAUAUAUAAUUAUUAGAAAGAAAAUUAAUUUGUAGUGUUGAUGCAUAAUUUCCAGUUAUGCGUGGAAAGAAUAUGAAUACAGGCAGAAAAACAGCAAUUAUAUUAUAUCGAGCAAAUUUCCUAUUCUCACAUUUUUAUCUUCAAUUUUGGAAAUAAAACUUUAGUUAUCCAGUGUUUCCUUUAGAACAAACAAAAAUCUGUAAACAAAUGAAUGUAGGUCAUUGAAUACAUUUAACUCAUCAUAAUAUCGGUUUUCUUUCGGUUUUGAACUGAAAGAUUUGGCUGAUUGGUCUCAGUUUUACUUGGUUUAACGUUGGUCUUUAAACGCAUCAUUGACAGGUCUGGAUUAAUUGAUCUGUCGUCAUGGUAACAAACUGAAACCCACCAAGCAGAACACAGAAGAAGAAAUUUUCCUUUAAGACUUUUUAUUUGAGGUGGAGUGAACAAUCCAUCAGCUGAUCGUUAAGGUUGAUGUGACCAGCUUCCUGUUUUCACAAUAAAAGCUCAAACUUUAAAUAAAACAAAAGCUGAUUGUUGGAAGAAAAGAACCGAUCCAGUGGUACCAGAACCGGGCCGACUGGAUC